rnacentral:rRNA from 1 species
UACAGAGACCUCAAGCGUUAUCCGGAAUCAUUGGGCGUAAAGCGUACCGAUAGGUGGUCAUGAUAGUUUUGGGUAAAAGCCAGAAGCUUAACUUCUGAGUUUGCUCAAAAUACUUCACGACUAGAGGGGCAAAUAGGAAGCUGGAACGAACGGUGUAGUAGUGAAAUGCGUUGAUAUCGUUCGGAACACCGAAAGCGAAGGCAGGCUUCUGGGUGCCACCUGACACUGCUAGGACGAAAGCGUGGGGAGCGAAUGGG